rnacentral:tRNA from 1 species
AAUAAAAUGCCUGACAAAAGGAAUACUAUGAUAUAGUAUAUAAUGUAAACAAAUUUACUUUUAUUG